rnacentral:lncRNA from 1 species
GUUGUUUUGAUAGUAAUUAAUCAUCAUGUCACAUUUAUGACCGGAAAUGUGUUGAUGUUAAAGGCAAAAAGUUGGGUCAAAAAGAUCGUGAAUUAUGUAAAAAUGACCGAAAAAGCCUUGAAAACUAAAAAGUAUAUGACCGUUCAUGCUUUGCCCAGCCGGACUUUUACCGGACAUUAUACAAAUGACCGGAAUAUAUGACCGUUUUGGAAGCCUUGCACUGAGGCCAUCUCAAAUAAAAGAAGAAAAUUUUAAAUAUGUUUUAAUUUCUUUUUUUCUCCUGUAAAAAAUCUACACAGAUACCUAGAAACAUGACUUUUGCUACUUUUCCAUCAAUCAUUUUGAAAGAAUCUAUUGAAGAUAUCAUGUGUGAUUGCGUGCUUUUUUCUCGUUUUCAUGGACAGCAAUGACAACCAAAUAAAACCCAAACUGUAUAUGUAACUAAUAAUUUCAUAAUUAAAUAAUAAAACCAUAAAAAGGAUUAAAAAAACUCUGUAGUUAUCAAUGACAUAGGAACAGACAUGUGCAAAACUAUAUUGUCUGUAAGUCUAUAAACCCAGGGAUAAUACAAAAGCUGUAAAAAUCUAGUGAUCUUGUCUUUCAUCAUAUAUUUUGUUAUGCAGUGUUCUAUAAAUAGAUCAUCACAAUAAAUCAGAAUAUUGGGACUAGCUGAUAUUUAAGUACUUGCCUUCUCAACACAUUAAUAAUUCAAACAGGACCAGAAAAGCAGUUGACAUUUAUAAAUUAUCGUUGAUCAUCUCAAUGAGAUUGAUUUUCUUGCUUGAGCCGGCAUUGCAAAAGUGAGAACAGCAAUCGAGUUAAGAUGACAAAUGAUAAUCUGUUUAUCGCUAUUACCUAUGACAAAGUUGUCAAUUUCAUUAGCAACACCACAUGCCCCUUUUGUUUCUAGCAAUAAUUUUCAUAUCAAUUGACUCCGCUUAGAAAGGAAAUUAUCAGUCAACAAGAUCAAAGGAAAAUUUCAUAAAAAAGCGAUAAUACUUGUUACAGAUUAAUUGUUGGUGUUUAACACUACUUUCAACACUCUUGGAUAGCUCUUGGAUAGCAUGUUUAAUAUUAGUGGAGGAAGACCAAGUCAUCAGAGAAAUAAUUAGAACAAUGCAUUUUGAUGUAAGGCAUGAAUUAAUAUAUGAGGCUUAGAAAUAAACAGUUAAAAAUUCAUUGCAUAUAGUCUGAUAUG